CCUGGUUGAUCCUGCCAGUAGCAUAUGCUUGUCUCAAAGAUUAAGCCAUGCACGUCUAAGGUACACGCGGGCGGUACAGCGAAACUGCGAAUGGCUCUUAUUAAAUCAGUUACGGUUCCUUUAUCGUCCACCGUUACUCGGUAACUCUGGGGUAAUUCUAGAGCUAAUUACAUGCCGACGAGCGCCGCCCCCCUGGGACGCGUGCAUUUAUCAGACCGAAACCCGAGCGGGGUCCCGCGCGGGGCCCCGGGACGCUUUGGUGACUCUAGAGUUAACCUCGGGCCGAUCGCGCGCCCUCCGCGGCGGCGACGUCUCAUUCGAACGUCUGCCCUAUCAACUUUCGAUGGUACUUUACGUGCCUACCAUGGUGACCACGGGUAACGGGGGAUCAGGGUUCGAUUCCGGAGAGGGAGCCUGAGAAACCGGCUACCACAUCCAAGGAAGGCAGCAGGCGCGCAAAUUAACCAACUCCCGACGCGGGGAGGUUAGUGACGAAAAAUAACCAUUACAGGACUCUUUCCGAGGCCCUGUAAUUGGAAAUGGGUACACUUUAAAUCCUUUGACGAGGACCAUUGGAGGGCAAGUCUGGUGCCGCAGCCGCGGUAAAUCCCAGCUCCAAUAGCGUAUCUUUAAGUUGUUGCAGUUAAAAAGCUCGUAGUUGGACCUGGGGAUCGAGCCGCGGGCCGCGGCGAGGGUGCUCCCGCCCGUCCCGGCCCCUGCCUCUCGGCGCCCCCCGGAUGCUCUUGACUGAGUGUCCGGCCCGGGGCCCGAUCGUUUACUUUGAAAAAUUAGAGUGUUCAAAGGGCCCGGUCGCCUGAAUACUCAGCUAGGAAUAAUGGAACAUGGCCCCGGUUCUAUUUUGGUGGUUUCCCCAACCGGGGCCAUGAUUGAGAGGGACGGCCGGGGGCAUUCGUAUUGCGCCGCUAUAGGGGUGAAAUUCUUGGACCGGCGCAAGACGGACGAAAGCGAAAGCAUUUGCCCAGGAAUGUUUUAUUUAUUCAAGAACGAAAGUCGGAGGUUCGAAGACGAUCAGAUACCGUCGUAGUUCCCACCGAAAACGAUGCCGACUGGCGAUUCGGGCGGCGUUAUGCCAAUGACCCGCCGGGCAGCGUCCAAUACCCCCGGGCAGCGUCCGAAACCAAAGUCUUUGGGUUCCAAACUUUCGAUGGUACUUUACGUGCACCCCCCGGCCUUUUAUCCCUCAUUGGCUCUUCAGUGCGGAGUGCGCUCCGGUUGACGGCUACAAUAAAUAUAAAUAUUAAUAAAAAAACUUUCAAUAAAGCAUGGCAGGAUACCUGAAGGCUCUGGGCACCCUUUCGCGCUCCGUCGCUACGCUGUGUAAAAGCCCGGCAGCCUUAGCGCCCGUCACAUCCUGUCAGAGCGUGCAGAAGAGAAACUAUGCUGACAAGCGCAUCAAAGUUGCUCAGCCGGUGGUGGAGAUGGAUGGAGAUGAAAUGACCCGCAUCAUCUGGGAGUUCAUUAAGGAGAAGCUGAUUUUGUCUAAUGUUGAUGUGGAGCUGAAAUACUUUGACUUGGGUCUUCCAUACCGCGACCAAACCAAUGACCAGGUUACUAUCGACUCUGCCUUGGCCACCAAGAAAUACAGCGUAGCAGUAAAGUGCGCCACCAUCACCCCAGACGAGGCCCGAGUGGAAGAAUUCCACCUCAAGAAAAUGUGGAAGAGCCCCAAUGGCACCAUCAGGAACAUCUUGGGUGGAACGGUAUUCCGUGAGCCCAUUGUCUGCAAGAACAUUCCCCGUCUGGUUCCUGGUUGGACGCAGCCCAUAACCAUUGGAAGACAUGCAUUUGGCGACCAGUACAGG
rnacentral:rRNA from 1 species